rnacentral:rRNA from 1 species
UAGGGAAUCUUCCGCAAUGGGCGAAAGCCUGACGGAGCAACGCCGCGUGAGUGAUGAAGGCCUUCGGGUCGUAAAACUCUGUUAUUAGGGAAGAACAAAUGUGUAAGUAAUUAUGCACGUCUUGACGGUACCUAAUCAGAAAGCCACGGCUAACUACGUUCCCGCAUCCGCGGUAAUACGUAGGUGGCAAGCGUUAUACGGAAUUAUUGGGCGUAAAGCGCGCGUAGGCGGUUUUUUAAGCCGGAUGUGAAAGCCCACGGCUCAACCGUGGGAUGUCAUAGGAAACUAGAAAACUUGAAUGCAUAAGAGGAAAGGGGAAUUCCAUGUGGAGCGGUAAAAUGCGCAGAGAUAAGGAGGAACACCAGUGGCGAAGGCGACUUUCUGGUCUGGAACUGAAGCUAAAGUGCGAAAGCAUGGGGAUCAAACAGG